rnacentral:rRNA from 1 species
GACGAACGCUGGCGGCGUGCUUAACACAUGCAAGUCGAACGAUGAAGCCGGAGCUUGCUCUGGUGAAUUAGUGGCGAACGGGUGAGUAACACGUGAGUAACCUGCCCUUGACUCUGGGAUAACUGCUAGAAAUGGUAGCUAAUACCGGAUACGACCCUCGGAGGCAUCUCCAGGGGGUGGAAAGAAUUUCGGUCAAGGAUGGACUCGCGGCCUAUCAGCUAGUUGGUGAGGUAAUGGCUCACCAGGGCGACGACGGGUAGCCGGCUUGAGAGGGUGACCGGCCACACUGGGACUGAGACACGGCCCAGACUCCUACGGGAGGCAGCAGUGGGGAAUAUUGCACAAUGGGCGCAAGCCUGAUGCAGCAACGCCGCGUGAGGGAUGACGGCCUUCGGGUUGUAAACCUCUUUUAGUAGGGAAGAAGCGAAAGUGACGGUACCUGCAGAAAAAGCACCGGCUAACUACGUGCCAGCCGCCGCCGUAA